UGUUUCCGGCGAUCUAUGGGAGAGGCGACGGCACCUGCAGUGAGGCGAAGAUUGGGAGAUAUGAUCGCGCAGGGGCGUGACUAGACAAGCGUCGACUCCUGGAAAGCUACGGUGCGCGGUUGGGGCUUCGUGCUACCAGGCUCGAGUUUCUGAUGCAGACGGCUCAUCAAUUGAAGCACCGGCCCCAGAGACUUCCUGCCCCAAAGCUUCAAUUUCUAGUGCGAGUGAACGACUAAGCGCGUCUGAGCACUUCACUGCCUUCUCAUCUGUGGCUACACAGACUGAACGGAGUAUUCGCAAAGAACAAUGCACUCUCUUCUUGUCUGUGACUUCCCAAGGUUGCGCAUCAACGCAAGUUUCCCACACAGAUGCUGUUGACACCAGUGUACAAG